rnacentral:rRNA from 1 species
UACGUAGGUGGCAAGCGUUGUCCGGAUUUACUGGGUGUAAAGGGCGUGCAGCCGGAGAGACAAGUCAGAUGUGAAAUCCACGGGCUCAACCCGUGAACUGCAUUUGAAACUGUUUCCCUUGAGUGUCGGAGAGGUAAUCGGAAUUCCUAGUGUAGCGGUGAAAUGCGUAGAUAUUAGGAAGAACACCAAUGGCGAAGGCAGGUCUCUGGGCCGUUACUGACGCUGAGGAGCGAAAGCGUGGGGAGCGAACAGG